rnacentral:rRNA from 1 species
GACGAACGCUGGCGGCGUGCCUAAUACAUGCAAGUAGAACGCUGAAGAGAGGAGCUUGCUCUUCUUGGAUGAGUUGCGAACGGGUGAGUAACGCGUAGGUAACCUGCCUGGUAGCGGGGGAUAACUAUUGGAAACGAUAGCUAAUACCGCAUAAAAUUGAUUAUUGCAUGAUAAUCCAUUGAAAGGUGCAACUGCACCACUACCAGAUGGACCUGCGUUGUAUUAGCUAGUUGGUGGGGUAACGGCUCACCAAGGCGACGAUACAUAGCCGACCUGAGAGGGUGAUCGGCCACACUGGGACUGAGACACGGCCCAGACUCCUACGGGAGGCAGCAGUAGGGAAUCUUCGGCAAUGGACGGAAGUCUGACCGAGCAACGCCGCGUGAGUGAAGAAGGUUUUCGGAUCGUAAAGCUCUGUUGUAAGAGAAGAACGAGUGUGAGAGUGGAAAGUUCACACUGUGACGGUAUCUUACCAGAAAGGGACGGCUAACUACGUGCCAGCAGCCGCGGUAAUACGUAGGUCCCGAGCGUUGUCCGGAUUUAUUGGGCGUAAAGCGAGCGCAAGCGGUUAGAUAAGUCUGAAGUUAAAGGCUGUGGCUUAACCAUAGUACGCUUUGGGAACUGUUUUAACUUGAGUGCAAGAGGGGAGAGUGGGUAUUCCAUGUGUAUCGGUGAAAUGCGUAGAUAUAUGCGAGGAACACCGGCUGGCGAAAAGCGGCUCUCUGGCUAGUAACUGACGCUGAAGGCUCGAAAGCGUGGGGAGC